AUUGAACGCUGGCGGCAGGCUUAACACAUGCAAGUCGAGCGGUAGCACAGGGGAGCUUGCCCCCUGGGUGCCUAGCGGCGGACGGGUGAGUAAUGUCUGGGAAACUGCCUGAUGGAGGGGGAUAACUACUGGAAACGGUAGCUAAUACCGCAUAACGUCGCAAGAUCAAAGAGGGGGACCUUCGGGCCUCUUGCCAUCAGAUGUGCCCAGAUGGGAUUAGCUAGUAGGUGGGGUAAUGGCUCACCCAGGCGACGAUCCCUAGCUGGUCUGAGAGGGUGACCCGCCAGCCGGGAACUGAGAAACGGCAGAGACUCUGGGGGGGGGAAGCAGUGGGGACUAUUGCACAAGGGGCGAAUGCCUGAUGCAGCAAUGCCGCGUGUGGGAAGAAGGACUUCGGCUUGGAAAGCACUGACGGCGAGGAGGAAGGUAGUGAGCUUAACACGUGCAGCAAUUGACGGUACUCGCAGAAGAAGCACCGGCUAACUCCGUG
rnacentral:rRNA from 1 species